rnacentral:rRNA from 1 species
UUGUCUCAAAGAUUAAGCCAUGCAUGUCUCAGUACAAGCCAAAUUAAGGUGAAACCGCGAAAGGCUCAUUAAAUCAGUUAUGGUUCCUUAGAUCGUACCCACGUUACUUGGAUAACUGUGGUAAUUCUAGAGCUAAUACAUGCAAACAGAGCUCCGACCGGAGACGGAAGGAGCGCUUUUAUUAGAUCAAAACCAAUCGGUGGCGGUUUCCGUCAUCGUACAACUUGGUGACUCUGAAUAACUUUAUGCUGAUCGCACGGUCUUGCACCGGCGACGCAUCUUUCAAAUGUCUGCCUUAUCAACUGUCGAUGGUAGGUUCUGCGCCUACCAUGGUUGUAACGGGUAACGGGGAAUCAGGGUUCGAUUCCGGAGAGGGAGCCUGAGAAACGGCUACCACAUCCAAGGAAGGCAGCAGGCGCGCAAAUUACCCACUCCCGGCACGGGGAGGUAGUGACGAAAAAUAACGAUACGGGACUCAUCCGAGGCCCCGUAAUCGGAAUGAGUACACUCUAAACCCUUUAACGAGGAUCAAUUGGAGGGCAAGUCUGGUGCCAGCAGCCGCGGUAAUUCCAGCUCCAAUAGCGUAUAUUAAAGUUGUUGCGGUUAAAAAGCUCGUAGUCGAAUCUGUGUCCCGCGCCGCCGGUUCAUCGUUCGCGGUGUUAACUGGCGUGNCGCGGGACGUCCUGCCGGUGGGCUUAGCUCGCNAGGGCGGCCCAACUCAAUCCCGCCGCGGUGCUCUUCAUUGAGUGUCGAGGUGGGCCGGCACGUUUACUUUGAACAAAUUAGAGUGCUUAAAGCAGGCUAAAACUUUGCCUGAAUACUGUGUGCAUGGAAUAAUGGAAUAGGACCUCGGUUCUAUUUUGUUGGUUUUCGGAACCCCGAGGUAAUGAUUAAUAGGAACGGAUGGGGGCAUUCGUAUUGCGACGUUAGAGGUGAAAUUCUUGGAUCGUCGCAAGACGGACAGAAGCGAAAGCAUUUGCCAAAAACGNUUUCAUUGAUCAAGAACGAAAGUUAGAGGUUCGAAGGCGAUCAGAUACCGCCCUAGUUCUAACCAUAAACGAUGCCAGCUAGCGAUCCGCCGACGUUCCUCCGAUGACUCGGCGGGCAGCUUCCGGGAAACCAAAGCUUUUGGGUUCCGGGGGAAGUAUGGUUGCAAAGCUGAAACUUAAAGGAAUUGACGGAAGGGCACCACCAGGAGUGGAGCCUGCGGCUUAAUU